ACUCGAAUCUGGGAACCCUGAGACCAGGAAGCUAAGAAGCCAGCACUGGCCUGCUGGAUGAUGAGUACCACCCCUAUGCCUGCUGACAGCCAGCCGACCCCAGAUCUGAUGGGCUCCUGCCUGAGUGUGCCCAGAUGACACCAACUAGAGCAGAGUGUUUGAACUCACCAUAAGACUGACACACCACGUGCACCAGGGGAUAAGACUUCCAGAGGACUCGGUCACACCAGGAAGGCAAGUUGUACUUCAUCUGCAAAUCAAAGUCAUAGGCUUUAAAAAAUGCCUCUUAUUAUUAUUUUUUUAAUCAGUAAAAGAACAGAUUAACUGGUGG
ensembl:lncRNA novel transcript, antisense to INPP5D